CCAAACUUGGUCAUUUAGAGGAAGUAAAAGUCGUAACAAGGUUUCCGUAGGUGAACCUGCGGAAGGAUCAUUAACAAAUUGUCCACAAUAAUGGAUAAUUUAAUCCAUAUCCACCUUGUGUGAAUCUAUUGACGCGUUCGUUGGCAGGUUAAACAGUCUCUUUCAAAAGAGUUGUGUGGGUUAGGCUACUGAAAUAGCCGGCUCGGCCUGCCAAUUUUACUAUUAAACAUGUCUAAAUUGAUAGCCUGAAAUUUUUGAAACAUUUAACAAAAUACAACUUUCAACAACGGAUCUCUUGGCUCUCGCAUCGAUGAAGAACGCAGC
rnacentral:misc_RNA from 1 species